rnacentral:rRNA from 1 species
GGUUAAGCGACUAAGCGUACACGGUGGAUGCCCUGGCAGUCAGAGGCGAUGAAGGACGUGCUAAUCUGCGAAAAGCGUCGGUAAGGUGAUAUGAACCGUUAUAACCGGCGAUGUCCGAAUGGGGAAACCCAGUGCAAUUCGUUGCACUAUCGUUAACUGAAUACAUAGGUUAACGAGGCGAACCGGGGGAACUGAAACAUCUAAGUACCCCGAGGAAAAGAAAUCAACCGAGAUUCCCCCAGUAGCGGCGAGCGAACGGGGAGCAGCCCAGAGUCUGAAUCAGCUUGUGUGUUAGUGGAACGGUCUGGAAAGUCCGACGGUACAGGGUGAUAGUCCCGUACACCAAAAUGCACAGGCUGUGAACUCGAAGAGUAGGGCGGGACACGUGGUAUCCUGUCUGAAUAUGGGGGGACCAUCCUCCAAGGCUAAAUACUCCUGACUGACCGAUAGUGAACCAGUACCGUGAGGGAAAGGCGAAAAGAACCCCGGCGAGGGGAGUGAAAAAGAACCUGAAACCGUGUACGUACAAGCAGUGGGAGCACCUUCGGGUGUGACUGCGUACCUUUUGUAUAAUGGGUCAGCGACUUAUAUUCUGUAGCAAGGUUAACCGUAUAGGGGAGCCGCAGGGAAACCGAGUCUUAACUGGGCGUUAAGUUGCAGGGUAUAGACCCGAAACCCGGUGAUCUAGCCAUGGGCAGGUUGAAGGUUGGGUAACACUAACUGGAGGACCGAACCGACUAAUGUUGAAAAAUUAGCGGAUGACUUGUGGCUGGGGGUGAAAGGCCAAUCAAACCGGGAGAUAGCUGGUUCUCCCCGAAAGCUAUUUAGGUAGCGCCUCGUGAACUCAUCUUCGGGGGUAGAGCACUGUUUCGGCUAGGGGGUCAUCCCGACUUACCAACCCGAUGCAAACUACGAAUACCGAAGAAUGUUAUCACGGGAGACACACGGCGGGUGCUAACGUCCGUCGUGAAGAGGGAAACAACCCAGACCGCCAGCUAAGGUCCCAAAGUCAUGGUUAAGUGGGAAACGAUGUGGGAAGGCACAGACAGCCAGGAUGUUGGCUUAGAAGCAGCCAUCAUUUAAAGAAAGCGUAAUAGCUCACUGGUCGAGUCGGCCUGCGCGGAAGAUGUAACGGGGCUAAACCAUGCACCGAAGCUGCGGCAGCGACACUAUGUGUUGUUGGGUAGGGGAGCGUUCUGUAAGCCUGCGAAGGUGUGCUGUGAGGCAUGCUGGAGGUAUCAGAAGUGCGAAUGCUGACAUAAGUAACGAUAAAGCGGGUGAAAAGCCCGCUCGCCGGAAGACCAAGGGUUCCUGUCCAACGUUAAUCGGGGCAGGGUGAGUCGACCCCUAAGGCGAGGCCGAAAGGCGUAGUCGAUGGGAAACAGGUUAAUAUUCCUGUACUUGGUGUUACUGCGAAGGGGGGACGGAGAAGGCUAUGUUAGCCGGGCGACGGUUGUCCCGGUUUAAGCAUGUAGGCUGAUUGUCCAGGCAAAUCCGGAUAAUCAAGGCUGAGGUGUGAUGACGAGGCACUACGGUGCUGAAGUAACAAAUGCCCUGCUUCCAGGAAAAGCCUCUAAGCAUCAGGUAACAUCAAAUCGUACCCCAAACCGACACAGGUGGUCAGGUAGAGAAUACCAAGGCGCUUGAGAGAACUCGGGUGAAGGAACUAGGCAAAAUGGUGCCGUAACUUCGGGAGAAGGCACGCUGGUGUGUAGGUGAAGUCCCUGCGGAUGGAGCUGAGACCAGUCGAAGAUACCAGCUGGCUGCAACUGUUUAUUAAAAACACAGCACUGUGCAAACACGAAAGUGGACGUAUACGGUGUGACGCCUGCCCGGUGCCGGAAGGUUAAUUGAUGGGGUUAUCCGUAAGGAGAAGCUCUUGAUCGAAGCCCCGGUAAACGGCGGCCGUAACUAUAACGGUCCUAAGGUAGCGAAAUUCCUUGUCGGGUAAGUUCCGACCUGCACGAAUGGCGUAAUGAUGGCCAGGCUGUCUCCACCCGAGACUCAGUGAAAUUGAACUCGCUGUGAAGAUGCAGUGUACCCGCGGCAAGACGGAAAGACCCCGUGAACCUUUACUAUAGCUUGACACUGAACAUUGAGCCUUGAUGUGUAGGAUAGGUGGGAGGCUUUGAAGCGUGGACGCCAGUCUGCGUGGAGCCAACCUUGAAAUACCACCCUUUAAUGUUUGAUGUUCUAACGUUGGCCCCUNACCGGGGUUGCGGACAGUGUCUGGUGGGUAGUUUGACUGGGGCGGUCUCCUCCCAAAGCGUAACGGAGGAGCACGAAGGUUAGCUAAUCCUGGUCGGACAUCAGGAGGUUAGUGCAAUGGCAUAAGCUAGCUUGACUGCGAGCGUGACGGCGCGAGCAGGUGCGAAAGCAGGUCAUAGUGAUCCGGUGGUUCUGAAUGGAAGGGCCAUCGCUCAACGGAUAAAAGGUACUCCGGGGAUAACAGGCUGAUACCGCCCAAGAGUUCAUAUCGACGGCGGUGUUUGGCACCUCGAUGUCGGCUCAUCACAUCCUGGGGCUGAAGUAGGUCCCAAGGGUAUGGCUGUUCGCCAUUUAAAGUGGUACGCGAGCUGGGUUUAGAACGUCGUGAGACAGUUCGGUCCCUAUCUGCCGUGGGCGCUGGAGAAUUGAGGGGGGCUGCUCCUAGUACGAGAGGACCGGAGUGGACGCAUCACUGGUGUUCGGGUUGUCAUGCCAAUGGCACUGCCCGGUAGCUAAAUGCGGAAGAGAUAAGUGCUGAAAGCAUCUAAGCACGAAACUUGCCCCGAGAUGAGUUCUCCCUGAGACUAUAAGUCUCCUGAAGGAACGUUANGACGAUGACGUUGAUAGGCCGGGUGUGUAAGCGCAGCGAUGCGUUGAGCUAACCGGUACUAAUGAACCGUGAGGCUUAACCUU